rnacentral:rRNA from 1 species
CCUACGGGAGGCAGCAGUGAGGAAUAUUGGUCAAUGGACGAGAGUCUGAACCAGCCAAGUAGCGUGAAGGAUGACUGCCCUAUGGGUUGUAAACUUCUUUUAUAUGGGAAUAAAAUGUUUCACGUGUGGGAUUUUGUAUGUACCGUAUGAAUAAGGAUCGGCUAACUCCGUGCCAGCAGCCGCGGUAAUACGGAGGAUCCGAGCGUUAUCCGGAUUUAUUGGGUUUAAAGGGAGCGUAGGUGGAUUGUUAAGUCAGUUGUGAAAGUUUCCGGCUCAACCGUAAAAUUGCAGUUGAAACUGGCAGUCUUGAGUACAGUAGAGGUGGGCGGAAUUCGUGGUGUAGCGGUGAAAUGCUUAGAUAUCACGAAGAACUCCGAUUGCGAAGGCAGUUCACUGGACUGCAACUGACACUGAGGCUCGAAAGUGUGGGUAUCAAACAGGAUUAGAUACCCGAGUAGUC